rnacentral:rRNA from 1 species
UACGUAGGGUGCGAGCGUUGUCCGGAAUUAUUGGGCGUAAAGAGCUCGUAGGCGGUUUGUCGCGUCUGCUGUGAAAUCCCGAGGCUCAACCUCGGGUCUGCAGUGGGUACGGGCAGACUGGAGUGCGGUAGGGGGAGAAUGGAAUUCCUGGUGUAGCGGUGGAAUGCGCAGAUAUCAGGAGGAACACCGAUGGCGAAGGCAGUUCUCUGGGCCGUAACUGACGCUGAGGAGCGAAAGCGUGGGGAGCGAACAGG